AUGGAGGACCUGAGAAGGCCUAAAGAGAUUUAGCAUAAGAGAGAGCUGAGAACCAAGGACCUUGCUGUCUUGGCUCCACAGAGAACUUAGAUGACCUCCAUGUGACAUCAUCAGUGAACCUAAGAAACAGGGGCAGAAACUUGGCUUUCACUGACAAUGCAUCUAAAUCCACUCCAUAAAAAUGGCCCCCAAAGAACCAUUAGGAAUUCAGAGUCAACUGGAAGCUUGGUGGUUGAGAUUGGGACAAGAAUGCAUGAUGCCAUGCUUGGUUCCUGAAAUCCAUCCUCAUUUGCACAACUGGCAAACAAGAAGUACUGAUACAGCCAGGAAAGCAGGACUGGAGAGCUCUAAAGAGGACAGUCGUACCAUCUAAUCUGCUCAGGAGACCGAGAGAAAUGUGCAGAGGUUGGCCCGGCACUUCCUGUGCCUGCUUCCUACCAGAUGUCAGUGGCAAAGAGAGGUUUGGGACAGAGCAUGUCCUACAGUUCUUAUGGGGAGACAAUGGCACACAUAAACAAUCCACAGAAAUACAAGAGGGCAGAAGUUAAGUGAAAAAUGAAGAAUAUUGGUUGUAGAAUUCAGAAGCAGAAAACAGCAUAUGUUGGCCAAGAUUAAAAAUGAUCUCACACAGGUACUAUGACGUGAUUUGGGGACUGCACAAUGAUAUGGCUGUGAAAGUCAU